GUGCUCCCUUCAGCAGCUCAUAAACUAAAACUGGAACAAUGCAGAAAAUAUUAAUAUGGGCCCUGUGCGAGAAUGACAUGCAAAUUCAAGAAGCAUUCCAUAUUUUA